CUGUCGUCGCCCGCCCACUUAGGCUAAGAAAGCCAGAAAACCCUACACCAUUAUCCUUUACUUUGUCCCUGGACGGAACCCAAACACGACAAGUUCGUCGAAUCCCUCUAAAUGUGAGUCUAUAUUUCGAUUGUUAUUCACUGCUUGAUUUCCCUUUGUAUUUUCAUCUUAACUAGGGUUUUAAUUAUAAAUUUUAAGAUUUCUAAUCGAGUUCGUUAGUAUGUUAAUGUGACUUUCUCGCAGGCGAUUCUUCUUCUGCUGGUGCCUUUCCCGUCAUUAGCUUCUUCUCCGCCUCUAAUUAGAAUAAUUAAUUAAAAAUUAAUUUUAUUUUUAAUUUUUCGGCGGAAUCAAUCGAAACUUUUUAUUUAUAUUUAUUUUUUAACUCUGGCCAACGAUUGAAUCAGUCGCUAAAUUUGCGACUGAUUCGGUCGCAAAUUGCUCAAUUUUAAAUGUUCCCGCAUUUUUCAAUUUGCGAUUGAAUCAGUCGCAAAUAUAUUGCGACCACGUGUUUGCCGACUGACACUUUUCAGUCGUAAAUCGGUCGAAAAAAUACAAUUUUCGACUGAUUUGUGACUGAUUUGACGGUCGCAAAUUUGCUGUUUUUUUAGUAGUGUUAAUUCAAUAUCUAAAGCCUUGCUACCACUUGUUAUUGAACAAAUCAAAAGCAUCACAGCUUCUUUGAGGUCCCGUAUAUACACAGUAGAGAAGUUCUAGAGCAGACACCUUUCUGCAAGAUGCCGACUUUGAUGUUUCUAAAUGUUCAUCCAGUAUACAAGGAUGAGAUCUAUUUUUUUUUCUUGUAAAGUCUCCAAUAUGUUUUUUCAUUUGUUAAAAAAUAUAUUAUCCAAAAGAAUGAACAAUUAUAAAAUAGUCAAAAUGCUUUCAUUGAUAACACCAAGAUGGUGUCAAUUGUAAGCUACAUAGGUGAUAAACUGUUAUGUUACUUCGGCCAAACUUACAAUAAAUGUUUCUUCGUAAAAUAAUAUUGGAUACAAAAAAAAUCAUAUUUUUCGUCCCUACAGCUUUAACAUAUCACACAUUUAAAGAAUCAAAUAUAGUAUGUAUUGUUAGUGCAAACUAUAUUGAGACUCUUGUUGUAACAAUACCAUUUCGUCUAUUGAUAGUGAAUAUACGUAGCUGUAACGGCCUGACUGGUCGUUUUGAGCAAUUAUGUCCGGUUCGGCAGUUUGAGGUCAUGAGUAGCUUAAUAUUAUAUGUAUCGACU
rnacentral:lncRNA from 1 species